GUGACCCCGGACAUGCCGAAUUUGCGCCAUUCUGGAAAGGACCCCGAAAAUAAUUUUUAACCAUUUUCAAAAAAAAGUUAUUUUUUUUUUUUUUUUUUCGGGACUUAAAAACUGUGACCCCGGACAUGCCGAAUUUGCGCCAUUCUGGAAAGGACCCCGAAAAUAAUUUUUAACCAUUUUCAAAAAGUUUUUUUUUUUUUUUUCGGGACUUAAAAACGGUGACCCUGGACAUGCCGAAUUUGCGCCAUUCUGGAAAGGACCCCGAAAAUAAUUUUUAACCAUUUUCAAAAAAAAUUUUUUUUUUUUUUUUUUUUUUUCGGGACUUAAAAACUGUGACCCCGGACAUGCCGAAUUUGCGCCAUUCUGGAAAGGACCCCGAAAAUAAUUUUUAACCAUUUUCACAAAAAAGUGAUUUUUUUUUUUUUUUGGGACUUAAAAACGGUGACCCCGGACAUGCCGAAUUUGCGCCAUUCUGGAAAGGACCCCGAAAAUAAUUUUUAACCAUUUUCAAAAAUUUUUUUUUUUUUUUUUUUUUUUUCUGGGACUCAAAAACUGUGACCCCGGACAUGCCGAAUUUGCGCCAUUCUGGAAAGGACCCCGAAAAUAAUUUUUAACCAUUUUCACAAAAAAGUGAUUUUUUUUUUUCGGGACUUAAAAACGGUGACCCCGGAC